UACAGAGGUCCCAAGCGUUGUUUCGGAUUCACUGGGCGUAAAGGGGUGCGUUAAGGCGGUCAGGUAAAGUUCUGAUGUGAAAUCUCUGGGCUUAACCCAGGAAAUGGCAUUGGAUACUAUUUGGCUUGAGAGUUGGAGGGGGGGACUGGAAUUCUUGGUGUAGCAGUGAAAAUGCGUAGAUAUCAAAGGAGGGAAACACCCAGUGGGCGAA
rnacentral:rRNA from 1 species